rnacentral:lncRNA from 1 species
GGGAGAUGGAGAGAGGGAUUAUAACUAAACUUGAUGUUAAAGGAGAGGGAUUAUAACAGUAAACCUGAUGUUAAAGGAGAGGGAGAUGGAGAGAGGGAUUAUAACAGUAAACCUGAUGUUAAAGGAGAGGGAUUAUAACAGGAUUAUAACAGUAAACCUGAUGUUAAAGGAUAGGGAGGGAGAGAGGGAUUAUAACAAUAAACCUGAUGUUAAAGGAGAGGGAUUAUAACAGUAAACCUGAUGUUAAAGGAGAGGGAGAUGGAGAGAGGGAUUAUAACAGUAAACCUGAUGUUAAAGGAGAGGAGGGAUUAUAACAGUAAACCUGAUGUUAAAGGAGAGGGAGGGAGAGAGGGAUUAUAACAGUAAACCUGAUGUUAAAGGAGAGGGAUAAUGAAAGAAACACUCUUAGUAGAAUCAAAUCAAAUCAAAUCAAAUUUAUUUUUAUAUAGCCCUUCGUACAUCAGCUGAUAUUCUCAAAGUGCUGUACAGAAACCCAGCCUAAAACCCCAAACAGCAAGCAAAGCAUGUGAAAGAAGCACGGUGGCUAGGAAAAACUCCCUAGGAAAAACUCCCUAGAAAGGCCAAAAACCUAGGAAGAAACCUAGAGAGGAACCAGGCUAUGAGGGGUGGCCAGUCCUCUUCUGGCUGUGCAGGGUGGAUAUUAAAACAGAACAUGGUCAAAAUGUUAAAAUGUUAAAAUGUUCAUAAAUGACCAGCAUGGUCAAAUAAUAAUAAUCAUAGUAGUUGUCGAGGGUGCAACAAGCACGUCCGGUGAACAGGUCAGGGUUCCAUAGCCGCAGGCAG